AAAGUAUUUAAUAUAAUGGUUAACCACAACAUUACUAUUAAACUGAUGGAACCAUAAUCUCUAAUGAGCGGGUAAAUGUCAAAGACAGUAAAGGCAUCUACAUUUAGUGCGAAAAUAUCGAAAUAAUUUAAAAGUAAAAAGAGUACGGCACUUAGUGUAAAUGAUAUAAGAAUAUGCCAUUUAUAUUUGGUGCUGGCAAUGAUUUGCGUACGUA
rnacentral:sRNA from 1 species